rnacentral:snRNA from 1 species
AUCGCUUCUCGGCCUUUUGGCUAAGAUCAAGUGUAGUAUCUGUUCUUAUCAGUUUAAUAUCUGAUACGUCCUCGUUGCCUAACGGAUAAGGCGUCUCACUUCGAUAUACUUACGUAAAUUUACAUAUGCAUUAUUAUAAAGUACAUAUAUA